rnacentral:lncRNA from 1 species
CUCUAUAAGAAAUUAGAAUACAAUCAGUUUAUUUACAAAAACUAACAAUCAAUUCUAACAUUUCAAACUUACAUCUCUAUAUAUUCUGAAGAAAGGAUGGUCCUCAAAAGCUCCUUCAAAUUAGCAAGAACAUAGCGUGGCCCUAAGCUCUUCACUCCAAUAAAAUUCAGGAGCUGCUCUAAAUCCUACAAGAAGGUCAUCGAUUAAC